rnacentral:rRNA from 1 species
UACGUAGGGUGCGAGCGUUGUCCGGAAUUAUUGGGCGUAAAGAGCUCGUAGGUGGCGUGUCGCGUCUGCCGUGAAAGCCCAUGGCUUAACUGUGGGUCUGCGGUGGAUACGGGCAGGCUGGAGGCUGGUAGGGGCAAGCGGAAUUCCUGGUGUAGCGGUGAAAUGCGCAGAUAUCAGGAGGAACACCAGUGGCGAAGGCGGUGCUCUGGGCCGGAACUGACGCUGAUGAGCGAAAGCGUGGGGAGCAAACAGG